rnacentral:rRNA from 1 species
AGUGAACGCUGGCGGUAGGCCUAACACAUGCAAGUCGAACGGCAGCACAGAGGAGCUUGCUCCUUGGGUGGCGAGUGGCGGACGGGUGAGGAAUACAUCGGAAUCUACUCUGUCGUGGGGGAUAACGUAGGGAAACUUACGCUAAUACCGCAUACGACCUACGGGUGAAAGCAGGGGAUCCUCGGACCUUGCGCGAUUGAAUGAGCGGAUGUCGGAUUAGCUAGUUGGCGGGGUAAAGGCCCACCAAGGCGACGAUCCGUAGCUGGUCUGAGAGGAUGAUCAGCCACACUGGAACUGAGACACGGUCCAGACUCCUACGGGAGGCAGCAGCGGGGAAUAUUGGACAAUGGGCGCAAGCCUGAUCCAGCCAUACCGCGUGGGUGAAGAAGGCCUUCGGGUUGUAAAGCCCUUUUGUUGGGAAAGAAAUCCAUCUGGUUAAUACCCGGGUGGGAUGACGGUACCCAAAGAAUAAGCACCGGCUAACUUCGUGCCAGCCGCCGCCGUAA